rnacentral:rRNA from 1 species
GUGAGGAAUAUUGGACAAUGGGCGCAAGCCUGAUCCAGCCAUGCCGCGUGCAGGAAGACGCAUCUAUGGUGUGUAAACUGCUUUUGUACGGGAAGAAACACUCCCUCGUGAGGGAGCUUGACGGUACCGUAAGAAUAAGGAUCGGCUAACUCCGUGCCAGCAGCCGCGGUAAUACGGAGGAUCCAAGCGUUAUCCGGAAUCAUUGGGUUUAAAGGGUCCGUAGGCGGUUUAAUAAGUCAGUGGUGAAAGCCCAUCGCUCAACGAUGGAACGGCCAUUGAUACUGUUAGACUUGAAUUACAAGGAAGUAACUAGAAUAUGUAGUGUAGCGGUGAAAUGCUUAGAUAUUACAUGGAAUACCAAUUGCGAAGGCAGGUUACUACUUGUGGAUUGACGCUGAUGGACGAAAGCGUGGGGAGCGAACAGGAUUAGAAACCCCGGUAGUCA